rnacentral:tRNA from 1 species
GCCUUGAUGGUGAAAUGGUAGACACGCGAGACUCAAAAUCUCGUGCUGAAGAGCGUGGAGGUUCGAGGCCUCUUCAAGGCA